GCCGGUGUAGCUCAGGGGUAGAGCAACUGAUUCGUAAUCAGUAGGUCGGGAGUUCGAUUCUCCCUGCCGGCU
rfam:Candidatus Schekmanbacteria bacterium RIFCSPLOWO2_12_FTLL_38_15 rifcsplowo2_12_scaffold_39, whole genome shotgun sequence.